rnacentral:rRNA from 1 species
UACGGGGGGUGCAAGCGUUACUCGGAAUCACUGGGCGUAAAGGGAGCGUAGGCGUUUUAUUAAGUCUUGAGUGAAAGCCCGCAGCCUAACUGCGGAAUUGCUCAGGAAACUAAUAAAAUUGAGUAUGGAAGAGGUAGGUGGAAUUUCCAGUGUAGGGGUAAAAUCCGUAGAUAUUGGAAGGAAUACCAGAAGCGAAGGCGACCUACUGGGACAUUACUGACGCUGAGGCUCGAAAACGUGGGGAGCAAACAGG